rnacentral:rRNA from 1 species
AACGAACGCUGGCGGCAGGCUUAACACAUGCAAGUCGAACGGAUGUAGCAAUACAUCAGUGGCAGACGGGUGAGGAACACGUGGGAAUAUUCCUUUCAGUUCGGAAUAACGUUGGGAAACUAACGCUAAUACCGGAUACGUCCUUCGGGAGAAAGAUUUAUCGCUGAAAGAUUAGCCCGCGUCUGAUUAGCUAGUUGGUGAGGUAAUGGCUCACCAAGGCGACGAUCAGUAGCUGGUCUGAGAGGAUGAUCAGCCACAUUGGGACUGAGACACCGCUCAAACUCCUACGGGAGGCAGCAGUGUGGAAUAUUGGACAAUGGGCGCAAGCCUGAUCCAGCCAUGCCGCGUGAGUGAUGAAGGCCUUCGGGUUGUAAAGCUCUUUUGUCCGGGAAGAUAAUGACUGUACCGGAAGAAUAAGCCCCGGCAAACUUCGUGCCAGCAGCCGCCGCUG